CUUGCAUGGGUGGAUUAGUGGAGACGGGUGAGUAACACGUGAGUAACCUGCCCUUAACUCUGGGAUAAGCCUGGGAAACUGGGUCUAAUACCGGAUAGGACCAUCCACCGCAUGGUGGGUGUUGGAAAGAUUUAUCGGUUUUGGAUGGACUCGCGGCCUAUCAGCUUGUUGGUGAGGUAAUGGCUCACCAAGGCGACCACGGGUAGCCGGCCUGAGAGGGUGACCGGCCACACUGGGACUGAGACACGGCCCAGACUCCUACGGGAGGCAGCAGUGGGGAAUAUUGCACAAUGGGCGCAAGCCUGAUGCAGCGACGCCGCGUGAGGGAUGACGGCCUUCGGGUUGUAAACCUCUUUCAGUAGGGAAGAAGCGAAAGUGACGGUACCUGCAGAAGAAGCACCGGCUAACUACGUGCCAGCAGCCGCGGUAAUACGUAGGGUGCGAGCGUUAUCCGGAAUUAUUGGGCGUAAAGAGCUCGUAGGCGGUUUGUCGCGUCUGUCGUGAAAGUCCGGGGCUUAACCCCGGAUCUGCGGUGGGUACGGGCAGACUAGAGUGCAGUAGGGGAGACUGGAAUUCCUGGUGUAGCGGUGGAAUGCGCAGAUAUCAGGAGGAACACCGAUGGCGAAGGCAGGUCUCUGGGCUGUAACUGACGCUGAGGAGCGAAAGCAUGGGGAGCGAACAGGAUUAGAUACCCUGGUAGUCCAUGCCGUAAACGUUGGGCACUAGGUGUGGGGACCAUUCCACGGUUUCCGCGCCGCAGCUAACGCAUUAAGUGCCCCGCCUGGGGAGUACGGCCGCAAGGCUAAAACUCAAAGGAAUUGACGGGGGCCCGCACAAGCGGCGGAGCAUGCGGAUUAAUUCGAUGCAACGCGAAGAACCUUACCAAGGCUUGACAUGUUCUCGAUCGCCGUAGAGAUACGGUUUCCCCUUUGGGGCGGGUUCACAGGUGGUGCAUGGUUGUCGUCAGCUCGUGUCGUGAGAUGUUGGGUUAAGUCCCGCAACGAGCGCAACCCUCGUUCCAUGUUGCCAGCACGUCGUGGUGGGGACUCAUGGGAGACUGCCGGGGUCAACUCGGAGGAAGGUGAGGACGACGUCAAAUCAUCAUGCCCCUUAUGUCUUGGGCUUCACGCAUGCUACAAUGGCCGGUACAAUGGGUUGCGAUACUGUGAGGUGGAGCUAAUCCCAAAAAGCCGGUCUCAGUUCGGAUUGGGGUCUGCAACUCGACCCCAUGAAGUCGGAGUCGCUAGUAAUCGCAGAUCAGGCACGC
rnacentral:rRNA from 1 species